GGUCCUGCAGUUUUUGCUUUGAUGGCUAUUGUUCUCAAGAUGAUAUAUUUCGUGGAUGUGCAAUAGGUGCGGCUCUCAAUGAUUUUCAUGCCAUAUAUAUAGUGGAGAUUUGUCAUACCCUAGAAUAUCAUGGACUAGGACUCUUUCUCUAAAUGGAAUAUGGUUUCCUGUAAGGAAUUAGGUGAUUCCUUUCCUUAUAAGGAGAUUACAUCAUAUAAUGAAACUUUGAAUCCUCUUUAAACUCUAUUUCUUCUUUUUUAUUUCUAUCCUUCUUUGCUAAUUUAUUUCAUUCUUUCUUUGCUCCUUUCUUUCCUUGUUUGCUCCUUUGUUUAUUUUCUUCUUUACCAAUCUUUCUUAUUUGCACUUGAUUUCCUUGUGUAUUCAUGUCACCUGCUAUGGGACCUAGUUCACAACUGUUCAGGGACCUGGUUCACCGGAUACAACAUACAAAAGACAACAAGUAGUAAAUCAGGUUCUUAUUUUUCAAUCAUCAAAACUAUAAACAUGUUCUCUUACUUUCCAACAAGUGACGAUGUGGUUGCGGGACAAAUCCACCUAGACCUGCGAAGAUGUUAAGAAAACCUUUUAUUUUUUCAAAACCCAUCUCGCUUAGCACUGCAUACUGUUGUUUAA
rnacentral:lncRNA from 1 species